AACGAACGCUGGCGGCAGGCCUAACACAUGCAAGUCGAACGCCGUAGCAAUACGGAGUGGCAGACGGGUGAGUAACACGUGGGAACGUACCUUUCGGUUCGGAAUAACUCAGGGAAACUUGAGCUAAUACCGGAUACGUGCGAGAGCAGAAAGAUUUAUCGCCGAAAGGUCGGCCCGCGUCCGAUUAGCUAGUUGGUGAGGUAACGGCUCACCAAGGCGACGAUCGGUAGCUGGUCUGAGAGGAUGAUCAGCCACACUGGGACUGAGACACGGCCCAGACUCCUACGGGAGGCAGCAGUGGGGAAUAUUGGACAAUGGGCGCAAGCCUGAUCCAGCCAUGCCGCGUGAGUGAUGACGGCCUUAGGGUUGUAAAGCUCUUUCGCCAGGGACGAUAAUGACGGUACCUGGAUAAGAAGCCCCGGCUAACUUCGUG
rnacentral:rRNA from 1 species